GACAGGUAACACGUCAAAAAUGGAACAGGGUCAUUUUCAACCAGAGUGUUCUUCAUAAUCCAAAAAAUAAGUUAGUUGUCGAAUGGUUAAAGUUAAUAUAGUGACGGUAAGUAAAAAUUAUCUCUCCGUAGAUAUGGUGCUGACCUGAACUUGCCAAAACGUCUUUGGGAUAGCAAUAGCCACAUAGGUCAACCUGCGUCAUCCAGCGGUAGAUAAGAACACGAAAUAUCAAAACGCGUGCGUUAAUUAGCGGUAGGCAAACAUCAAAUCGAAAGACUGGACUUAAAAAUCAGCUGCAAUAAUGUUUAACAGUUAGAGAACAGUGCUAUGAGACGGUUAACGUAGAGUAUAUGUGCCAAACGUUAAACGCGAAACCUGCAAGUGAGAUAUUUUCACAUGGUUCAUAGGCACAAAUGGCCUCGAUGAAGAAAAAUUUAAGGAAUUAUCAAUGCGAAAUAUUACCAUUUUUUACUAAUAAAAUGAGUAUUGAGCAAUAUCAGGAAGUGAGAAUAA